GGAAGGUUGUCCGAGCUGGCCGAAGGAGCACGCCUGGAAAGUGUGUAGGCGUCACAAGCGUCUCAAGGGUUCGAAUCCUUUACCUUCCG
rnacentral:tRNA from 1 species